CGGCAAUGAGGAACAAAACUUGUGCCGGAGGCAGAUGUGCCGAUGUCGGUGACACAACCCUCUAAGAAGUUCUGAGCCC
rnacentral:snoRNA from 1 species